AAUGAACGCUGGCGGCAUGCCUAACACAUGCAAGUCGAACGAGACCUUCGGGUCUAGUGGCGCACGGGUGCGUAACGCGUGGGAAUCUGCCCUUGGGUUCGGAAUAACAGCGAGAAAUUGCUGCUAAUACCGGAUGAUGACGUAAGUCCAAAGAUUUAUCGCCCAAGGAUGAGCCCGCGUAGGAUUAGCUAGUUGGUGAGGUAAAGGCUCACCAAGGCGACGAUCCUUAGCUGGUCUGAGAGGAUGAUCAGCCACACUGGGACUGAGACACGGCCCAGACUCCUACGGGAGGCAGCAGUGGGGAAUAUUGGACAAUGGGCGAAAGCCUGAUCCAGCAAUGCCGCGUGAGUGAUGAAGGCCUUAGGGUUGUAAAGCUCUUUUACCCGGGAUGAUAAUGACAGUACCGGGAGAAUAAGCUCCGGCUAACUCCGUGCCAGCAGCCGCGGUAAU
rnacentral:rRNA from 1 species